rnacentral:lncRNA from 12 species
GCUCAGUGCACUGUCUCAGAACAGGAACAAGGCAAUUAUCUGUUUAUUGAGGCAUUUAUUUAUUAUUCCCUAAUUUUAUGAGCUUGGCCUGGCAGAUCUGGGCCAUCCUAUAGAGGACAAGAUUUUGAUGAGAUUUUUUUUUUUUUUUUACCUUAUCAGCAGCUUCCACUUUCUGGUCUUACUUUAUUCACCUAUAAGAAUGCAAUAAUCUUAAUUAUCUUCCAGUGCAAAGUCAAACCUUGUCUAGCUUUUAGCAGACACAUUUCAUUCCCAACCGCUGUUUCCUUUGGUUUUUUGAAUACCACUUCCUAUCUCCUAUUGCACCUCUCAAUCCCUUUGUAUUUUUGGACCUCACACCAUCCCUCAGUUGAGUAAGUGCCGCACCUGAUCAUCCAUGCUGGCUCUCCACACGCAAGAGCGAGCUGGUCUCAUCUCUGAGCCUGAGCUGGUGAAGGGAACAGUGCCUGAAUUCGAAUUAUUCACAGAGAACUGUUUCUUCUGGUUUGUGCUGUUCCUUCAGACAGCCGGAUGAUUUCUGCUCAAGCGCAGCCAGCAGUGUGGUGCCGCAGCAGAAGCUGUGCGUGCCGGCGCAGGGCUGGGUGGAAGUCGCUGGCUUGGCAAACGCGCUCUGCAGCGCCACUCACAUCCCUCCCGACUUUUACACAGAGUUUCACCUGCGGACUGAACUUGAAGAUCUUAAGCUCUCUUGGACGGGGAUGCAAAGGGCUGUGCAAGAAACACGAGAGAGAGAAGGAGAAACCUGUGACAAAUAUUAAAAGGAGGGAAUGCAUGAAGAUUUCUAAUGGUGGACAAGAUAUGUUCCUUCUCCUACAAUGGACAAAAGUGAGCAGAAAUCCAAGCCUUCAGUCCUGCAGCUGCAAACAGGAGCUGGGACAGAACACCAGAACAACAAAAAGAUGACUUCUGUACAGCCAGC